rnacentral:rRNA from 1 species
GAUGAACGCUGGCGGCGUGCCUAAUACAUGCAAGUCGAGCGAACGGACGAGAAGCUUGCUUUUCUGAUGUUAGCGGCGGACGGGUGAGUAACACGUGGAUAACCUACCUAUAAGACUGGGAUAACUUCGGGAAACCGGAGCUAAUACCGGAUAAUAUUUUGAACCGCAUGGUUCAAAAGUGAAAGACGGUCUUGCUGUCACUUAUAGAUGGAUCCGCGCUGCAUUAGCUAGUUGGUAAGGUAACGGCUUACCAAGGCAACGAUGCAUAGCCGACCUGAGAGGGUGAUCGCCCACACUGGAACUGAGACACGGUCCAGACUCCUACGGGAGGCAGCAGUAGGGAAUCGUCCGCAAUGGGCGAAAGCCUGACGGAGCAACGCCGCGUGAGUGAUGAAGGUCUUCGGAUCGUAAAACUCUGUUAUUAGGGAAGAACAUAUGUGUAAGUAACUGUGCACAUCUUGACGGUACCUAAUCAGAAAGCCACGGCUAACUACGUG